AGUAACACGUGGAUAACCUACCUAUAAGACUGGGAUAACUUCGGGAAACCGGAGCUAAUACCGGAUAAUAUUUUGAACCGCAUGGUUCAAAAGUGAAAGACGGUCUUGCUGUCACUUAUAGAUGGAUCUGCGCUGCAUUGGCUAGUUGGUAAGGUAACGGCUUACCAAGGCAACGAUGCAUAGCCGACCUGAGAGGGUGAUCGGCCACACUGGAACUGAGACACGGUCCAG
rnacentral:rRNA from 1 species